rnacentral:misc_RNA from 1 species
GAUGAAGAACGUAGCGAAAUGCGAUAAGUAAUGUGAAUUGCAGAAUUCAGUGAAUCAUCGAAUCUUUGAACGCACAUUGCGCCCGCCAGUAUUCUGGCGGGCAUGCCUGUUCGAGCGUCAUUACAACCCUCAGGCCCCCGGGCCUGGCGUUGGGGAUCGGCGGAGCCCCCCGUGGGCACACGCCGUCCCCCAAAUACAGUGGCGGUCCCGCCGCAGCUUCCAUCGCGUAGUAGCUAACACCUCGCGACUGGAGAGCGGCGCGGCCACGCCGUAAAACACCCAACUCUUCUGAAGUUGACCUCGAAUCAGGUAGGAAUACCCGCUGAACUUAAGCAUAUUAAUAAGCGGAGGA